UCAGAAUGGAACAAGUUAGACCAGUUCGACUUGGCGCGUUGGCGGUGACAACAAAAAGGAAUACGAAUACUUGCUGGACAUUUUAAAGAAACAUGUCACAUUGUGUACAGACAUUUCUGCAUCACAGUCUGAAAACAUUGCAGACCAUAUCUUGAUUAUCUAUUCCACCUUCCAAGGAUUUAAGAGGCUUGAAGAAUAAUCUCACAUUUAGGCUAUGCCAUACAAAAAUUUCUUGAAACUUCUGCUGAUAACUGGUAUUGGUAUUUUAGAUUUAGCUUUCUUAGCUGUUGCAAGUUCUUAGCUCAUCUGGAGUGGCUAUAUUUUGGAUUCCUGCACAUAUGAAAUAAAGUGUGACUAUGGAAUGAAAACGUUGGCAUUGUCCUGCAUAUUUUAUUCUACAUCAUUGAAAAGAGAAAAGUGCUGGAUGAUUUUUUAGAAGGCUGGAAUUAUUAUGAGAAAAUCACGUUUAAAAACCACUCGAAAACUCAUCGUGCAAUGUAUGGACGUGCACAAGCGAAUAACCGGUUCUACUUAGAGUGA
rnacentral:lncRNA from 1 species